rnacentral:rRNA from 1 species
GACGAACGCUGGCGGCGUGCUUAACACAUGCAAGUCGAACGGCAAGGCCCUGCUUUUGUGGGGUGCUCGAGUGGCGAACGGGUGAGUAACACGUGAGUAACCUGCCCUUGACUUUGGGAUAACUUCAGGAAACUGGGGCUAAUACCGGAUAGGAGCCCCUGCUGCAUGGUGGGGGUUGGAAAGUUUCGGCGGUUUGGGAUGGACUCGCGGCUUAUCAGCUUGUUGGUGGGGUAGUGGCUUACCAAGGCUUUGACGGGUAGCCGGCCUGGGAGGGUGACCGGCCACAUUGGGACUGCGAUACGGCCCAGACUCCUACGGGGGGCAGCAGUGGGGAAUAUUGCACAAUGGGCGGAAGCCUGAUGCAGCAACGCCGCGUGCGGGAUGACGGCCUUCGGGUUGUAAACCGCUUUCGCCUGUGACGAAGCGUGAGUGACGGUAAUGGGUAAAGAAGCACCGGCUAACUACGUG